GGCGCUCAGGGGGGCGCAGCUCAGGCUGCCGCUGCUGGCGGUGGAUGACGAGCGGGAGGCAGACGGGGCGGUCCAGCCGCCCGAGCGCCUC
rnacentral:tRNA from 1 species